UGAUUGAAAAGGAAAUUUCGUACGCUAAUUACGCGGACCUAUCGGCCGUGAAAUCUAGCACGACAUGGUACGAUUAAGGUACGACAGUGUGGAGUGUACGUGCACCCGAGGUCCUGCGCGCGCGAGACACUCACCUGCAUAAAGGGGGCUACGUGUAAUUUCGGCGCCUUCGAUGGACUGGGGUUAAGGCAGUCGUCUCUUCUAAUUAAUAAGCGUCCCUCAUCUGUCCCCCGAGACAAGGACCCGACCACUUAGUACAUACCUGCAUCGCGGUGAACACAAAGACACAGCAGAAUCCAAGCGUCCGUCCAUCCAUUUAUCCUUCGUCCAUCUGCGACCUCGAACAAAGAAGCCGACAUCGACAACGAGGAGGAGAAGAAAACUCGAAGAAGCCGGGCUCUCGAGUCUCGGCGAACCGAUCAAAAACUUGCCGGAAGCAUCACUCAAAGAAGCGUCCGCGAGAGACGGCAACCCUUUGACUUUCGGAUACGCAGAUGCGCGCGUCGCUGAUUAGCAUUCAGGGAAGACGUUCUCCCCACCGCGGUGUCUGACUCUUUCGUCGGCUUUUGCAUGUGCCACAUCGACAAGACGAGAAAAGGGACGGCCGCAGGCGCUGACGGCUGACGACGGCUGCCGCGACACCCCCUCGGAUUAAAGCGACGCGAGGCUGAUGUGAGCUGUUGCAAAAUGCGAGAGGCGAUGCCGCGAUCGAGCUGUUGAUGUGCUAUGCGCAAAAUAAUAAGGUGACGAUAUUGCUGCAGCUGACGAACAAAGUCGUUUGAAUCAUCGACUCCUCGUUUGUCCCUCGGCCGUCGAACUACUGCUGCUGCUGCUGUCGUCGUUGGCGCUACGAGAUAACUCGAUAAUACGGCGUCGACCGGUCGACCGCUGCGCGCCUUGUGAACCGCGAGAAUGAAGUGUCUUCGGCGUCCUCGUAAAUUUCCUGAGUUUUAUGAAAUUUUAACUGUCUUUUCUCGCGGAAGCUACGGUUGUUAUUAGCUUUUUAUCGACGCCUUCUGAUGCCGAUCCCUCAAUUAGAAGAAAGAUGGAUUUAUUUUUGAAACGCUGACGCGCUGCCAAUUAUUUUUGGAUGCAGUUGUCCAAAGGCUUCCUACAAAUCCCUAAAUCGUCGGAUAUAAUAAAGCUCUAACACCAAGCGUGCCCUGUUCGCACAUUCAUUAAUUACGACUCGCGCGUAAGCGAUAAUUAAAUCCGGCGAAGCACGAGUUUUCUCGCGCGGGUAAUGCGCGCCGACUAUUCGCAGCGCCAACCACUCAAACGGCAAUUUUCGAGCCAGAGAGGCAUUAGAGGGCCAGCUAUUAAUUUUCAAAUUACCCGCCAAAGCUUUUACCGAUCGGCGACUCAGCCAAUUUUCGUUUGACAAUAUACGGCUUUUUGAAUCAAAUAAAUUCAAAAUCCAUAAGAGUA
rnacentral:lncRNA from 1 species